ACUCCUACGGGAGGCAGCAGUGAGGAAUAUUGGUCAAUGGAGGGAACUCUGAACCAGCCAUCCCGCGUGUAGGAAGACGGCCUUAUGGGUUGUAAAAGCUAACUUUUAUUACCAGGAAGAAACGUACCCUCGUGAGGGUGCCUGACGGUACUGUAGGAAUAAGCCACCGGCUAACUCCGUGCCAGCAGCCGCGGUAAUACGGGAGGGUGCGAGCGUUAU
rnacentral:rRNA from 1 species